rnacentral:rRNA from 1 species
GACGAACGCUGGCGGCGUGCUUAACACAUGCAAGUCGAACGGAAAGGCCCUGCUUGCAGGGUACUCGAGUGGCGAACGGGUGAGUAACACGUGGGUGAUCUGCCCUGCACUUCGGGAUAAGCCUGGGAUACUGGGUCUAAUACCGGAUAGGUGCCAUUCGUAGUGUGAUGGUUGGAAAGUUUUUUCGGUGUAGGAUGAGCUCGCGGCCUCUCAGCUUGUUGGUGGGGUAAUGGCCUACCAAGGCGGCGACGGGUAGCCGGCCUGGGAGGGGGGACGGCCAACUCGGGAAUGAGAAAAGGCCCCGACCUCCACCGGAGGGAGGCGUGGGGAAUAUUGCAAAAUGGGGCGAAGGCCGAUGGAGGGACGGCGGGUGGGGGGAGGCCGGCUUCCGGUUGGAAACUCCUUUCUCGAAGGAAGGAGGUUUUUGUGACGGUACCUAGAUAAGAAGCACCGGCUAACUACGUG